rnacentral:tRNA from 1 species
GGGCCCAUAGCUCAGCAGGUUAGAGCAACUGACUCAUAAUCAGUAGGUCCCAGGUUCAAGUCCUGGUGGGCCCA